AACGAACGCUGGCGGCAGGCCUAAUACAUGCAAGUCGAGCGAGCGGCGGACGGGGGCGUACGGUUUGGGGACCUGCCCGAAAGAGGGGGAUAACUACUGGAAACGGUAGCUAAUACCGUACUCUAGCGGAUGACCCCAUAUGGGAUUAGCUAGUAGGGGAGGUAAUGGCUCACCUAGGCGACGAUCCCUAGCGGAUCUGAGAGGAUGAUCAGCCACACUGGGACUGAGACACGGCCCAGACUCCUACGGGAGGCAGCAGUGGGGAAUAUUGCGCAAUGGACGAAAGCCUGAUGCAGCCAUGCCGCGUGAAUGAAGAAGGCUCUAGGGUUGUAAAGUUCUUUCGGUCGAGAGGCGUUACCGACAGAGGAAGCACCGGCUAACUCCGUGCCAGCAGCCGCGGUAAUAC
rnacentral:rRNA from 1 species